AGAACGCGGAUCGAAGGGAGGCCUUCCCGGCCGCGUCCUAGGUGACAGGUGUGUGAAAUUCGGUUGGGGAGGUAGUUCUGUAAACUGCGUCUCCCCGCCAGCUAAGGAAGUUGAGUGAAGGGAGCGUUGCCGUCUGGGAAUCGUAGUCCUCACAAAGGGAUAAGUUAUAAUUUAUUCUACAUAUCGUUCAGAAGUCUUGUGCCUGUUCCAUAUCGUCAGCAGUCAUCGGUUGUAUUUACCCAGCCAGGCAUUCUAACUAAUGAUCUUCGCACAACAAAACGGCCUUUAAAAAAUCA
rnacentral:lncRNA from 1 species